UCCCUGGAGGAUUAGUGGUUAGGCCACAAUGCUCUCACCGCUACAGCCCGGGUUCAAUUCCCAGCCAGGGAA
rnacentral:tRNA from 1 species